AAUGCUCUGAGACCACGUUGGUGUGAGAGGAGAGAGCUGCAUGAUACUGGAGGACAAGACACCAAGCCCCUCAAGGGACUCAGGCAGUUGGCUUUUCUCCUCUCCAGAGCACCAACUGAAACAAACCACUCAGCCAGAAUGAACAGAGCAGGACUAUGUUUCACUUUACUGCUACUGGGUCAUGUUUUUCCUCAGGUGUGUACAUGGGGGGAAGCCCUCUCAAAAGGAUGUGGUGUUUAGUAGGGGCAUCCAGCUCUUUGUAGAAGGUUUGAACCCUUCUGAUCCAUCUGUACUCCUUCUCUCCUCAUUCGGGAGUGACCC